rnacentral:rRNA from 1 species
UGGCUUAAUUUGACUCAACGCGGGAAAUCUUACCGGGUCCGGACACACUGAGGAUUGACAGGCAAUAUUAGCACUUAGCUUCGGCGACGUGUUAUGUUAAAUAUGCUAGUCCUUUCAUGAUUAUGUGAUAGGUGGUGCAUGGCCGUUCUUAGUUCGUGGAGUGAUCUGUCUGCUUAAUUGCGUUUCACCAAGGGCCUAUAAUUUUACGUGUGUUGCGGCACUUUGACCCCUCUUUUUUUAAAGAGCGCGUGUCUUGGUUUGCUUAGCUCGCACAAUUAGGUCCUGAAAGCAACGAACGUGACCGCAACCUCUUGUUGCCUUUAUACCAAACGUGCAUAUGCAAUUUUUUAAUUGCUUUGCGCGCAAAAAGGCUUUUUAAACUAGAGGGACCGCUGUUACUUUCUUAAACCAGAGGAAGGUUGCGGCAAUAACAGGUCUGUGAUGC